rnacentral:rRNA from 1 species
AAAUUGAAGAGUUUGAUCAUGGCUCAGAUUGAACGCUGGCGGCAGGCCUAACACAUGCAAGUCGAACGGUAACAGGAAACAGCUUGCUGUUUCGUUGACGAGUGGCGGACGGGUGAGUAAUGUCUGGGAAACUGCCUGAUGGAGGGGGAUAACUACUGGAAACGGUAG